UAGCGAACAGGACUAGAUACCAUGCUAGUCUACUCCGUAAACUCUGUGAGCUUCAUUUGGGAGGAGUUCGCCCAUGCCGCGUCGCAGUUAAUGACGGUAAUGCGCACCGCCCUCGGGGAGGACGAUCGGUAACGGCUGGUACUCUACAGGAAUUGAUCGGGGGCGGCGCACAACCAGCUGGAGCAGCAUGGCGUAAUAACGAGGCUAACACGAAGAACCUCACAUGCACGUGACAAAAUCAGCAGACACGUCCAUGAAAAGGGGCAUCCUUCGGGACCUGCAAACAGGUGAUGCAUGGCCGUUCUCAGCUUGUGCCGUGAAGUGUUCGGUUAAGUCCGCCCACGAGGCCAACCCCUGUCGUUAGUUGCCAACAGGUGAGGCUGGGCACUCAGACGAGACUGCCCGUGCUAAACCGGAGGAAGGCGCGGAUGACGUCAAGUCAGUAUGGCCUUUAUGUCCAGGGCUGCACACGUGCUACAAUGGCCGGCACAAUGGGAUGCGAUACCGAGAGGUGGAGCGAAUCGUCGAAAGCGGCCUUCAUUUGGAUCGCAGUUUUCAAUUCGGAUGCCUGAAAUCGGAAUUGCUAUGUUAGUGCCUAUUCGGCACGACGCGUUGAUUCGUUCCCGGGCAUGUACACACCGCCCGUCACAUCAUGGGAGCUGUCUGUACCCGAAGUCGUUGACCCAA
rnacentral:rRNA from 1 species